rnacentral:rRNA from 1 species
AGAGUUUGAUCCUGGCUCAGGAUGAACGCUGGCGGCGUGCUUAACACAUGCAAGUCGAACGAUGAUCCGGUGCUUGCACCGGGGAUUAGUGGCGAACGGGUGAGUAACACGUGAGUAACCUGCCCUUAACUCUGGGAUAAGCCUGGGAAACUGGGUCUAAUACCGGAUAUGACUCCUCAUCGCAUGGUGGGGGGUGGAAAGCUUUUUUGUGGUUUUGGAUGGACUCGCGGCCUAUCAGCUUGUUGGUGAGGUAAUGGCUUACCAAGGCGACGACGGGUAGCCGGCCUGAGAGGGUGACCGGCCACACUGGGACUGAGACACGGCCCAGACUCCUACGGGAGGCAGCAGUGGGGAAUAUUGCACAAUGGGCGCAAGCCUGAUGCAGCGACGCCGCGUGAGGGAUGACGGCCUUCGGGUUGUAAACCUCUUUCAGUAGGGAAGAAGCGAAAGUGACGGUACCUGCAGAAGAAGCGCCGGCUAACUACGUGCCAGCAGCCGCGGUAAUACGUAGGGCGCAAGCGUUAUCCGGAAUUAUUGGGCGUAAAGAGCUCGUAGGCGGUUUGUCGCGUCUGCCGUGAAAGUCCGGGGCUCAACUCCGGAUCUGCGGUGGGUACGGGCAGACUAGAGUGAUGUAGGGGAGACUGGAAUUCCUGGUGUAGCGGUGAAAUGCGCAGAUAUCAGGAGGAACACCGAUGGCGAAGGCAGGNNNAC